rnacentral:misc_RNA from 1 species
GACACUGCCAAAUAAAAGUCCCGCGGACAUGGUCAAUGGAAUAGCCGGGAUUGCAAGAAUCUCCAGGCCAGCGUAAACAAGUACAAAUAAAGCAUAUCCAGCAGGGCCAUAACCUUCAAUGAUCGCCGUGAACUGGGUCAAGAAAGCAUUGAUUUGAUCCCUAUAAAUAUACCCGACCGAUCCAAACCCUCCAACAACCCCAACCAGCAGCAGCACGGCAAGAACAGUCCCUUUCAACGCAGCAUCACCGCCCGCAUCCCCAUCCCCGGCAUCGGCCGGUCUCUCAUCCCUUCCUCCCUUCCGGUUAUCAAACCGGAAGUUCUGCGGGGUAUUCGACGACGCCUUCUGGCGGGUGGGCUGCUUCUUCGUCUCCCGGAGCGCCGAGAGCGG